AUACGGAGGAUCCGAGCGUUAUCCGGAUUUAUUGGGUUUAAAGGGUGCGCAGGCGGCCAUUUAAGUCAGCGGUUAAAUCGUGGGGCUCAACCCCAUUCUGCCGUUGAUACUGGGUGGCUUGAUUGCGGUCGAGGUUGGCGGAAUUCGUUGUGUAGCGGUGAAAUGCAUAGAUAUGACGAAGAACACCGAUUGCGUAGGCAGCUGUCCAGACCGCAAAUGACGCUCAUGCACGAAAGAGCGGGGAUCGAACAGGAUUAGAUACCCUGGUAGUUCGCACAGUAAACGAUGAAUACUUGUUUUCGGCGAUAUAAUGUCGGAGGCAAAGCGAAAGCGAUAAGUAUUCCACCUGGGGAGUACGCCUGCAACGGUGAAACUCAAAGGAAUUGACGGGG
rnacentral:rRNA from 1 species